GCUCUCCCUGGGCUCCAAUUACCAGAGGAAGAAGACAGCCCUGCUCCUCCUGUCAGCAGUUUUGGAGACCUGCACAGACACCUGGAGCCCCGAACGGAAGAAGGGGCAGCCUCCACAGACCAUGGCCGCGCUGCUGAGCUACGCCAGGCACCAGGGCUGCUGGGACUUCUUCUCGCAGUCCAACCUGCUGGCGCUGCUGAGCUGCUUGCAGGACAGCACCAAUGAGAUCAGAGAUUUGGCUUCGGAGCUGCUCAUCCGCUA